rnacentral:rRNA from 1 species
GGAAGGAAGAUAAUGUGACUGAGUGGCGGACGGGUGAGUAACGCGUGGGUAACCUGCCAUGUACAGGGGGACAACAGUUGGAAACGGCUGCUAAUACCGCAUAAGCGCACGAGAUUGCAUGAUAUAGUGUGAAAAACUCCGGUGGUAUAUGAUGGACCCGCGUCUGAUUAGCUAGUUGGUAAGGUAACGGCUUACCAAGGCGACGAUCAGUAGCCGACCUGAGAGGGUGACCGGCCACAUUGGGACUGAGACACGGCCCAGACUCCUACGGGAGGCAGCAGUGGGGAAUAUUGCACAAUGGGCGAAAGCCUGAUGCAGCGACGCCGCGUGAACGAAGAAGUAUUUCGGUAUGUAAAGUUCUAUCAGCAGGGAAGAAGAAAUGACGGUACCUGACUAAGAAGCCCCGGCUAACUACGUGCCAGCAGCCGCGGUAAUACGUAGGGGGCAAGCGUUAUCCGGAUUUACUGGGUGUAAAGGGAGCGCAGGCGGCCCGGCAAGUCUGAUGUGAAAACCCAAGGCUCAACCAUGGGAUUGCAUUGGAAACUGUCGAGCUAGAGUAUCGGAGGGGUAAGUGGAAUUCCUAGUGUAGCGGUGAAAUGCGUAGAUAUUAGGAGGAACACCAGUGGCGAAGGCGGC